GCACUCCCUUUUCUUCUCCAUGCAGCAGCCUGGAUUCAUUCCCUGCACCGGCCAAGGGGGAGGAAGGAGCCACGGCUGCCCCCUGAUGCUGCCUGUCCUGGAGGUGCUGGGCUGGAAGACACCCCCUCCUCCUGGAGGGACUUAAGCCAGAGCAUCCCUGUGAGCACGGAACACUACGUCUGUCUCCAUCGGGAUGCAGACACCAGGCUGAGCUCAGGGUCUAGCUUGUGCUGCCCCACAGAUCCUGGGGACAGCCUCAGGGGAGGCUGCCCUUCACUCUGUCCUGUGUGUCCCAUGGAUGAUGCUGGCUGUGUCCGCUGUUCCAGUCUCAGGGAUGCAGGAAAAUUUCCCCACAUGGAUGGGGGCAGGAAUAGAUGUGUACAGCUGUGGUGCAGAGGCAGGACAGCAUCCAUCACGGAAGGAGGCUGUGGUGGCCUCAUAAUGGAGGUGGUAAUCUGAUCUGGCCGUUCCCAACCCAUGACCAGUUUUUGCUGGGCUGCAAACAGGAUUUGGGGGAGAUGGCUUUGAAGGAGGCAGAGCUGAUGGACCCCAGAGGGUACCAGCACGGGGGAGGCUCGGAGCCCCUGGCAGGUCUGUGCCCCAGCCGGGAUGCCUCAGAGCCGCAGCACCAAGCCCCAAGCCAAAGCUCCCCUCCCCAGCACAGCUGGGCUACAAGGGACCAAGGCACUGCUGCAUCAAUUUCUCUUUUCAGUCUCACUAUGCAGAUGAAUGGGUUGCUUAAAAUAAAAGUCCCCAUCACACCUAAAUAA
rnacentral:lncRNA from 1 species